rnacentral:rRNA from 1 species
GGUUAAGCGACUAAGCGUACACGGUGGAUGCCCUGGCAGUCAGAGGCGAUGAAGGACGUGCUAAUCUGCGAUAAGCGUCGGUAAGGUGAUAUGAACCGUUAUAACCGGCGAUUUCCGAAUGGGGAAACCCAGUGUGUUUCGACACACUAUCAUUAACUGAAUCCAUAGGUUAAUGAGGCGAACCGGGGGAACUGAAACAUCUAAGUACCCCGAGGAAAAGAAAUCAACCGAGAUUCCCCCAGUAGCGGCGAGCGAACGGGGAGCAGCCCAGAGUCUGAAUCAGUGUGUGUGUUAGUGGAAGCGUCUGGAAAGGCGCGCGAUACAGGGUGACAGCCCCGUACACAAAAAUGCACAUGCUGUGAGCUCGAUGAGUAGGGCGGGACACGUGGUAUCCUGUCUGAAUAUGGGGGGACCAUCCUCCAAGGCUAAAUACUCCUGACUGACCGAUAGUGAACCAGUACCGUGAGGGAAAGGCGAAAAGAACCCCGGCGAGGGGAGUGAAAAAGAACCUGAAACCGUGUACGUACAAGCAGUGGGAGCCUCUUUUAUGGGGUGACUGCGUACCUUUUGUAUAAUGGGUCAGCGACUUAUAUUCUGUAGCAAGGUUAACCGAAUAGGGGAGCCGAAGGGAAACCGAGUCUUAACUGGGCGUUAAGUUGCAGGGUAUAGACCCGAAACCCGGUGAUCUAGCCAUGGGCAGGUUGAAGGUUGGGUAACACUAACUGGAGGACCGAACCGACUAAUGUUGAAAAAUUAGCGGAUGACUUGUGGCUGGGGGUGAAAGGCCAAUCAAACCGGGAGAUAGCUGGUUCUCCCCGAAAGCUAUUUAGGUAGCGCCUCGUGAAUUCAUCUCCGGGGGUAGAGCACUGUUUCGGCAAGGGGGUCAUCCCGACUUACCAACCCGAUGCAAACUGCGAAUACCGGAGAAUGUUAUCACGGGAGACACACGGCGGGUGCUAACGUCCGUCGUGAAGAGGGAAACAACCCAGACCGCCAGCUAAGGUCCCAAAGUCAUGGUUAAGUGGGAAACGAUGUGGGAAGGCCCAGACAGCCAGGAUGUUGGCUUAGAAGCAGCCAUCAUUUAAAGAAAGCGUAAUAGCUCACUGGUCGAGUCGGCCUGCGCGGAAGAUGUAACGGGGCUAAACCAUG